ACACCCCUAUAUGUAUCUACGUUUAUAUCUAUAUAUCCAUAUUUAUAAAUCUAUCUAUAUAUAUACAUAGAGUUGAGCUAGAAUACCAUCCAGAGCAAACGAACUUAGUUGCCAUCUAUUUGUUUUCGAUGAUCAAGCCUCCAAAUCGAUGAUCGAUACCUUUGAACAUGAUCUAUACAAACUUGAAGUGUUUAGAAAUCAAAUUUCAUACAUUUUCGAUAUUGUUCUCUUAUCCAUCGAGUGGGCACAAAAAUGAAUGGUUGAAAAUGAAUAUUCUUUUAAAAAAUGAUGAUAGGACUAGUCUUGUAAUCCAAAUAAAGAGUAUAGAUCUUAUUUUAAAUAGUUUAAAGAUUUUGACUGUACUCGACUCAAACCCGAUCCGAACCCGAAUGUAUUUCAUAAUAUAUAUAUAUAUAUAUAUAUAUAUAUAUAUAUAUAUAUAUAUA
rnacentral:lncRNA from 1 species